rnacentral:lncRNA from 12 species
AUUUUUGGGUGUAUAUGUUUAGUAUAUUUGCGGGUGCAUAAUUUUCAAACCAAGUGAACAGCAUUCCCUCUAUGCAAUGCUUUAUAUCUUUAUAAAGCCGCUGCCGAGGUAGCUGAUCAGGGAUCGCUGUGGGGUCGCUGCGCACCGAGCGCGCUCCGCUUUCCCGCCCUUUCCGCCGCCAUGUUUAGAAGGUCAGGCGAGUCAUCUUCGGUACUGGCAGAGGCCGCUUCCGGCCCGGCCGCCAUCUUUGUUGUGGCACCCUUAAGGCCCCUCACAAGGGCGUCUCUCUAAGUCGCCUGCCUGAAUCCGGCCCCGACGCCGUUCCCGCGCUCCCGGCGCGAUUUCCCGCCGCUUCCGGCCCGGCCGCCAUCUUUGUUGUGGCACCCUUAAGGCCCCUCACAGGGGCGUCUCUCUAAGUCGCCUGCCCGAAUUCGGCCCCGACGCCGUUCCCGCGCUCCCGGCGCGGUUUCCCGCCGCCUUUCGCGGCGCUCGGACGCGGGAGCGGCGGCAGGCAGCGGCGCGGACGCCUCUCUCGGCCGGGGUCCUGCCGGCUGUCAGCCGCGCGCUCGGGGCUGCGCUCGGGGCGGAGGAGCCGCUGCUGCUGAAGGGGCCGGGCCGGGCCGGGCCGGGGCUCCUGUGCCGGGAGCCGCUUCCCCCCCCCGGGAGGAGCCGCUGCUGCUGAAGGGGCCGGGCCGGGCCGGGCCGGGGCUCCUGUGCCGGGAGCCGCUUCCCCCGCCCGUUCCAGGCGGCACCGCGCGCGCGGGGAGACCUUUGGGUGCGUGCGGGGAUGGAAGAGGCGCUCUCGAGCUCGGGCGCAGGAGAUUGAGCUGUGGGGAAGCUGCAGAGAAGGCUGCCGGGCACAGCCCCCCCAAAAUGGGGCUCCCCCGAUUGGGCUCCCGCAGAGGAUGGGGCAAUUGCAGCCCCCCUGUCAUUCCCCGCAGAGGAUGGGGUAAUUGCAGCCCCCCUGUCAUUCCUGUGAGCUUCGGCACUGUCUCCGUGCAGGAAGGGGAGUGGCCGAGGAGCCCGGGCUGGGACACGGCCCCAACAAGAGCAGCCCAGGGCACAGUGACACGGGAGGAGGAGCCCAGAGACAGAGGAGAUGCUGCUGCACCACGUCCCCAGGAGAGCCCCUGCCUCCCUUCUGCUCUCAGGGAUGGGAGUGGGAGACACCUCCACGCAGAGAGUGGCACUUGGCACGGCUUCAGUCCCCCGUGGAAGAGGCUGGGCUCCCCACUGCUCAGAGCUCCUGGUUAG